CCUACGGGAGGCAGCAGUGGGGAAUAUUGCACAAUGGGGGAAACCCUGAUGCAGCGACGCCGCGUGAGUGAAGAAGUAAUUCGUUAUGUAAAGCUCUAUCAGCAGGGAAGAAAAUGACGGUACCUGAGUAAGAAGCCCCGGCUAACUACGUGCCAGCAGCCGCGGUAAUACGUAGGGGGCAAGCGUUAUCCGGAUUUACUGGGUGUAAAGGGAGCGUAGACGGCAGUGCAAGUCUGGAGUGAAAGGCGGGGGCUCAACCCCCGGACUGCUCUGGAAACUGUACGGCUGGAGUGCAGGAGAGGUGAGUGGAAUUCCUAGUGUAGCGGUGAAAUGCGUAGAGAUUAGGAGGAACACCAGUGGCGAAGGCGGCUUACUGGACUGUAACUGACGUUGAGGCUCGAAAGCGUGGGUAGCAAACAGGAUUAGAUACCCGUGUAGUC
rnacentral:rRNA from 1 species